CAAAAACAUGGCUCUUCGUUUGUGUAGGAAGAGGAGUCUGGCCUGCCCGGUGGAGUUGAUCUAAACGGUCGCAGCUGUCACUGUGCUAAGGUAGCGUAAUAGGUCGUCCUUUAAUUGGGGAAAGGUAUGAAUGGUCGGAUGAUGGAAAGUCUUUAUUAGUGGUAGAUUUUGAAUUUUACUUUUGGGUGCAAAGGCUCAAAUGGGAUUAUUAGACGAGAAGACCCUGUUGAGCUUGUUAUACCGAGGCCUUGUUUGGCUUUCGGUUAUGUUUUUUCGGGGCUGAAAGGAAGGGAGAGUGAUGCCUUCUUUUUUAAUACUGACCCGGCAUGGCCGGUAAGAAGAAGAUAGUUACCACAGGGAUAACAGCGCAAUCUCUUUGUCAAGGUCAUAUUUGAGGGGAGGUUUGCGACCUCGAUGUUGAAUCAGAACUCCUAUCAGGUGUAGCAGCUUGGUAAGUGGGACUGUUCGUCCUUUGAAGUUCUACGUGAUC
rnacentral:rRNA from 1 species